rnacentral:rRNA from 1 species
AACGAACGCUGGCGGCGUGCCUAACACAUGCAAGUCGAACGUGAUUGGGGAGCUUGCUCCCCAUGAAAGUGGCGCACGGGUGAGUAACGCGUAGAUAAUCUACCUGAUGGUCCGGGAUAACACUUCGAAAGGGGUGCUAAUACCGGAUAAGCCCACGAGGUCUUUGGACCAUGCGGGAAAAGGGGGGGACCUUUUAGGCCUUCCGUCAUCAGAUGAGUCUGCGUACCAUUAGCUAGUUGGUAGGGUAAAGGCCUACCAAGGCGACGAUGGUUAGAGGGGAUGAAAGGAUGAUCAGCCACACUGGAACUGGGACACGGUCCAGACUCCUGCGGGAGGCAGCAGUGGGGAAUUUUGCGCAAUGGGGGAAACCCUGACGCAGCAACGCCGCGUGAGUGAUGAAGGCUCUUGGGUCGUAAAGCUCUGACAGAGGGAAAGAAAUGCAUGGUGGCUAAUAUCCAUUGUGCUUGACGGUACCCUCAAAGGAAGCACCGGCUAACUCCGUGCCAGCCGCCGCGGUAAAAC